ACAUCGGUGGGUGAGUGGUAGAAUGCUCGCCUGCCAGGCGUCCGGCCCGGGUUCGAUUCCCGGUCGGUGCA
rfam:Caenorhabditis brenneri strain PB2801 C_brenneri-6.0.1_Cont1.32, whole genome shotgun sequence.